rnacentral:rRNA from 1 species
AGUGAACGCUGGCGGUAGGCCUAACACAUGCAAGUCGAACGGCAGCACAGUAAGAGCUUGCUCUUACGGGUGGCGAGUGGCGGACGGGUGAGGAAUACAUCGGAAUCUACUUUUUCGUGGGGGAUAACGUAGGGAAACUUACGCUAAUACCGCAUACGACCUACAGGUGAAAGCAGGGGAUCUUCGGACCUUGCGCGAUUGAAUGAGCCGAUGUCGGAUUAGCUAGUUGGCGGGGUAAAGGCCCACCAAGGCGACGAUCCGUAGCUGGUCUGAGAGGAUGAUCAGCCACACUGGAACUGAGACACGGUCCAGACUCCUACGGGAGGCAGCAGUGGGGAAUAUUGGACAAUGGGCGCAAGCCUGAUCCAGCCAUACCGCGUGGGUGAAGAAGGCCUUCGGGUUGUAAAGCCCUUUUGUUGGGGAAGAAAAGCAGCAGGUUAAUACCCCGCUGUUCUGACGGUACCCAAAGAAUAAGCACCGGCUAACUUCGUG